rnacentral:rRNA from 1 species
UACGUAGGGACCAAGCGUUGUUCGGAUUUACUGGGCGUAAAGGGCGCGUAGGCGGCAAUUCAAGUCACUUGUGAAAUCUCCGAGCUUAACUCGGAACGGUCAAGUGAUACUGCUUUGCUAGAGUGCAGAAGGGGCAACCGGAAUUCCCAGUGUAGCGGUGAAAUGCGUAGAUAUUGGGAAGAACACCUGAGGCGAAGGCGGGUUGCUGGGCUGAUACUGACGCUGAGGCGCGACAGCGUGGGGAGCAAACAGG